GACGAACGCUGGCGGCGUGCUUAACACAUGCAAGUCGAACGGAAAGGCCCUGCUUUUGUGGGGUGCUCGAGUGGCGAACGGGUGAGUAACAAGUGAGUAACCUGCCCUUGACUUUGGGAUAACUUCAGGAAACUGGGGCUAAUACCGGAUAGGAGCUCCUGCUGCAUGGUGGGGGUUGGAAAGUUUCGGCGGUUGGGGAUGGACUCGCGGCUUAUCAGCUUGUUGGUGGGGUAGUGGCUUACCAAGGCUUUGACGGGUAGCCGGCCUGAGAGGGUGACCGGCCACAGUGGGACUGAGAUACGGCCCAGACUCCUACGGGAGGCAGCAGUGGGGAAUAUUGCACAAUGGGCGGAAGCCUGAUGCAGCAACGCCGCGUGCGGGAUGACGGCCUUCGGGUUGUAAACCGCUUUCGCCUGUGACGAAGCGUGAGUGACGGUAAUAGGUAAAGAAGCACCGGCUAACUACGUG
rnacentral:rRNA from 1 species